rnacentral:lncRNA from 1 species
UUUUUUUUUUUCAAUUGAGGUAAAAUUUUCCAGCAGUAGCAGCAUUUAAGAAACAGCCUUUUCAAUUUCCUUCAUUAGAGACGUUUAGCUAGAAUUAGAGCAGUACAAUUGUUCAGAUGAUUUAAGGCUUUGAAAAAAAAACAGAUUUUUUUUUUUUUUUUUAACAUUGAAGUAAUUAAAAAAAAAAAAGGAGCUGACUAGGUGCAAUCACUGCUCUUCAUCUUUUUCAGUCAUUUCCCUCCUCUGCCACCUUUUCUUUGUUUGCUGUUCAGUUCCCUGCUGGCCGUCUUUUUUCUUGUCCACCCGUUCCCCACUUGCUGUAUUCUUUCUUAUCUUCAUUUACUGGCUGAUGCAGCAUUGCCAGCUCCUUUGAUCUGCUUAAACAAACCACACUGCAAAAGCAGUACCUGUCUGCUGCGUCUUUGAUAGGAAAGUGUGGGACCUGUCUGAGGCCCCGUUGUCCUUCAGCAUCAAGGGUAGAAAAUAUUUUAAGGACAUGCUGCUCAGCAGCUGUGGCGUGUUAUCUCUUAUGACUGGUCAGCAAGAAUUUCCCUCUAGACUUCAGUCUGUAGACUCAUAAACUCUUUUAUAAAGUGUCUGGCAUCUGCUCUCAGGAAAGUGAUUCAGGGAUAAGCAAGACCUGCGUUGGUUAAUGAGAUUAUUCAUAGGUGAUUUUUAAUAGGUGAUCUUGUAUGUUGAAUAGCAGAUGUAAUUAAUAGUGCUUUUCCCAAUUUUGGUGGAAGUGUUCUAGCAGCAGAGAUAAUCAGUUCACAUCCCCAAUAGCGCAGACAUACCUGGGGUGCUGCUGCUAAUUUUCAGUCGGAGCAGUUGCCCUGGUAAUUUUAAUAACAUUGCCAGAAAGCUCACAGGGAAUUCAAGGUGAACAAGCAGACCUGCACACAGCAGAAGCUGCACCAUCUCCCAGCACAGCCCCUUUGCCUUGGCUCUGAGAGAAAACAGGUGACAUAGGUCAAGGUAAUCCAUUAUCGUCAGAGACCAAAUGUUUCUGGGGACCUGUCGCUGCCCACCAGGCCACAGUGGUUUUGUGGAUAUGCAAGGAAGAGGAAGGCCAGGCAAAGCAAUGUGCUGGGAAGCACAAAGAGCAAUGCAAGUUGCUCAUCUCCUAUGUGAGAAGUGGUGAGGUGUCUACUGUCUUUCUUGCAAGAGGUCCGAAAGCCUCUCCCUUGGAGAGGAGCCAUGAGGAGGGAAUGUGAGAUAAAGAAAAUAUCUUUUUCUACCAUCCUGAAGAUUGAUAUUUAUUCAGGCUAGCUCCCUCUUGCUUUCAGAAUUAAUAAUAGCAGUAAUACUGAAGCUGUCUGCAAUGGGGAAUGUACACAGUCUUGGUGGCUUAAAACAUUUUGAUUCAACAAAAUUAGUCAGGCAGUCCUAUUGGCAAGGUAAUUGAAGCGGGACUGCCAUCCAAUUUAUCUCCAGCUGGUGUGGCUUGAUGAUUCCUGCAGACCUGACCUUUGCUGCAGGAAAUACUGAGCAAUAGCCAU